AUAAUGCGCCGCCAUCUUGCGGCACACUCGCACACACACACGUGUGCCAUUCUGGUUUUGCAGUGGUGUGCGUGUGUGCCUCGAGUCGUUGCGUCACUG
ensembl:ncRNA mir-4949 mir-4949 stem loop